rnacentral:lncRNA from 1 species
AUGAUGUCAUCACUAAAGCCUGAGAAGGUGUUCUCGCCGGGGGCGGCGAGCGAGGGUGUCAUCACUCCGGCAAGUCAGGGCGGAGCUCCGGCAAGGCAAGGAGGUGAUCCGGUGAGGCGAGGCUCGGGCGAGCUGGUUUCUCUCGCUGCUGCAAAGCGAAGAGGAAAGGCUCUCGCAGCUUUGGGACGCGUGGGAAGUGCAGAUGCACGCCAAGUGUUCGACCGAAGUCUUCCCCCACUCGGGGUUAAUAACGGGGCGGAUCAAUCACAACCCGAUAACAAUUCCAAAACCCGCUUUCCCCCUCAACAACUCACGCAGCUGGAAAACCUCCUACAACAUUUGUGGGGAAAAUCUCCAAGCAAUUUAGGGUUUCGAGGUGGAUGGAGGCGGAGGGAACCACAAAGUGAGGAGGGGGAGGCGGCGGAGUGGCCACGAGUCGGCAUUGGGGGGAGAACAAGAGGAGGGGGGUGGAGCAGCACAAUCCACGGCGAUUCUCGAGGUUUUGUGAAGGUUGUCAAGGAAAACAGUGGAGGCAUGGCGUACCAAGGUGGAGCUUGGCGAGGGAGGCUCCAAACGAGGCCGCCGGGCUUUCGUGGUGAGGGGCGGCGCCCUCCUGCGCCAUUCCACCAAGGGCGACAAGAUCCAGAAGAAGGUGGUCAUAAGAAGCAAGAUGGGGAGGGGAGUAAGGGAGGACAGAGCUCAACUAUGGCGGCAAGAGGGGUCACCCAACAGUAUAGGCUAGUGCAGAAAAGUCCAGAUCCGAAGGAUGAACAAAUGAAACAGCUGCAAAUUCUGAAGGAUAGAGAGAUGGCUAUGCAACUGCAAGUUGAGGAAGACAAUAGUUCUGGCAUGAAGAGAAAGCUGAUAAUGGAUGUUGAGAGUAGUGAUAAAGAUGCUGGACAAUUAGGAGAAGGUGUUGAAGACAAAUUGCUCAAGCUUCAAGAACAG